ensembl:lncRNA
CUCAUGGAUACAAUUCUGCUGUAUGGCCUAGGUUUUUUAUAUUAAAAAAGAAAAGUGUGUGUAUGUAUAUUUUAGGAAAGCAGUAAUGAGAAUUUGUUCAGUCACACAUAGACAAAUAGUUGUAUGUUUUGUCUUCCUUCCAUCUUGGCUUAGGUGGAGCAGAUCAGCAAGGCUUAGGGUCUCUUGGAAGAUUCUCUGCUGUAACGUAACCUGGACCAGAUGACAGUGCAAAGCUAUGCAGAAAGAAGAGAACAAGGAACUUCCCUGCUAGGAGCAUUUGUAAUGCAGAGCUUGGUAGAGUAAGUGUCAUGUAACAUCGAAGCUGUCUGCAGUAGUUUCCCUUUAAUUAUACUUAAUUUUAUCGCUGUUGAGUUAAUGGCCAAAUACUCGAGUUCAUUACACUGGAGAGUAAAAAGGUAAGGCAGAUUUAACUAACUUGUUUGUGAAAUAAAUUAUGUAUUUGAUUACUGAACGUAGUAUGGUGGUAAUGAAGUACAUCAGGAAAGUUUAGAUUUGUACCAACCGUUCUGAACUUGAUUUGGCUAACUGUGGGAGGGCAAGAUGCAUACAGAUGCAAACCCUUAUACGUGGGGUGUUACAAAGGUUGCAAAAUUAGCUGCCUAUGUGAUAACUUGCUGCACCUGACGGUAGAAAAGUCAGAGCCUGUGCCCGAAGGAAGAACUGCAGCCCUUUUCCAUGAGCAUUCCUGGCAGCCCUGUUGAUGCUACCACUGUCUGCACUACUUUCUUUUUGUUUAAUUUCCCCCAGGAACACAUUGGAUUUAUUUGUAGCACUUUAGAUACCUGAGAAUGCAGGAGUGCUGAGCAGGCUUACCUUCCAGGACUCUUAUACACAAAAAGCUUUCACUUUUAUUUUUUAAUAACUGAUACCUUCAUGGCUGUAGGCAGUCUUGAAAAGGUUAUUUGAACAUAAACUGUUGCAGUAAUAUCUCCCUGACAUGUUAGUCUCAUUAAAAUAAGGCAGCUCACUUCCUCUCGGAUCUGAUCUUCCAUCCUAUAUCCUUGUGAUACUCUCCUAGUAAAUAAGCCUGUGUUUUUUGGAGUCUAGAAACAGGUUUCCUUUCUGGGUAGGUGGUUUAUAAAUGUGAGGAUGGCACGGAGCUGUUGCCUAUCAUGGUAGUAACUGCCCAGUUUUCAACCAUGCCAGUAAGUGGGGUCAACUUUUUUUUCCCCCCAGUACAAGUUGAGAUGUGUCACAAACCAGAAAACAGAGGUUUUCC